AAUCAACGCUGGCGGCGUGCCUAACACAUGCAAGUCGAGCGCGAAAGCGGGGCAACCCGCAAGUAGAGCGGCGAACGGGUGAGUAACGCGUGGGUGAUCUACCUCCGAGUGGGGAACAACAUCGGGAAACUGGUGCUAAUACCGCAUGACAUCCUCAGGUCACACUGAGGAUCAAAGCCGGGGACCGUAAGGCCUGGCGCUUGGAGAGGAGCCCGCGUCCGAUUAGCAGUUGGCGGGGUAACGGCCCACCAAGGCGACGAUCGGUAGCCGGCCUGAGAGGGCGGACGGCCACACUGGGACUGCGACACGGCCCAGACUCCUACGGGAGGCAGCAGUGGGGAAUUUUUCGCAAUGGGCGCAAGCCUGACGAAGCAACGCCGCGUGGGGAUGAAGGUCUUCGGAUUGU
rnacentral:rRNA from 1 species